rnacentral:rRNA from 1 species
CCUACGGGUGGCAGCAGUGGGGAAUCUUCCGCAAUGGGCGCAAGCCUGACGGAGCAACGCCGCGUGAGUGAAGAAGGUCUUCGGAUCGUAAAGCUCUGUUGACGGGGACGAACGUGCGAGAGGUGAAUAAACUCUAGCAAUGACGGUACCUGUCGAGGAAGCCACGGCUAACUACGUGCCAGCAGCCGCGGUAAUACGUAGGUGGCGAGCGUUGUCCGGAAUCAUUGGGCGUAAAGGGAGCGCAGGCGGGCAUAUAAGUCUUUCUUAAAAGUGCGGGGCUCAACCCCGUGAUGGGAAAGAAACUAUAUGUCUUGAGUACAGGAGAGGAAAGCGGAAUUCCCAGUGUAGCGGUGAAAUGCGUAGAUAUUGGGAGGAACACCAGUGGCGAAGGCGGCUUUCUGGACUGCAACUGACGCUGAGGCUCGAAAGCCAGGGGAGCGAACGGGAUUAGAUACCCGUGUAGUC